AAUAUUGCACAAUGGAGGGAACUCUGAUGCAGCAACGCCGCGUGAGUGAAGAAGGUUAUAGGAACGUACAACUCUGUCAUUGGGGAAGAAUAAAUGACGGUACCCAAUGAGGAAGCGCCGGCUAACUACGUGCCAGCAGCCGCGGGAAUACGAAGGGGGCGAGCGUUGUCCGGAAUUAUUGGGCGUAAAGGGUGCGUAGGCGGCUUCUUAAGUCAGAUGUGAAAGACCACAGCUUAACUGUGGGGUUGCAUUUGAAACUGGGGAGCUUGAGUUUCGGAGAGAGUAGUGGAAUUCCCGGUGUAGCGGUGAAAUGCGUAGAGAUAUGGAGGAACACCAGUGGCGAAGGCGACUCUCUGGUCUGUAACUGACGCUGAGGCGCGAAAGCGUGGGGAUCAAACA
rnacentral:rRNA from 1 species